UAUCUCUGUAGAGUCUGCAUAUCAAUAAGCGGAGGAAAAGAAACUAACAAGGAUUCCCUUAGUAACGGCGAGUGAAGCGGGAAGAGCUCAAAUUUGAAAUCUUCAAGGUUUCUACCUUGACGAAUUGUAGUUUAAAGAAGUGUUUUCUGUUAGAUGUUUGGUAGCAAAAGUUCCUUGGAAUAGGGACAUCAUAGAGGGUGAGAAUCCCGUAUUUGACCUAUUACUUCCUAGCUUUGUGAUACACUUUCAAAGAGUCGGAUUGUUUGGGAAUGCAGUCCAAAAUGGGUGGUAAAUUUCAUCUAAAGCUAAAUAUUGGCGAGAGACCGAUAGCGAACAAGUACCGUGAGGGAAAGAUGAAAAGAACUUUGAAAAGAGAGUUAAACAGUACGCGAAAUUGUCAAAAGGGAAGCGUUUGACACCAGUGUUGUUUUUCCAAAAAUCAAUUACGAAUGGCUUGAUUUUGUGUUGUAUUGACCUUAUCAGCUUUCUGCACUUUUUUCGAGUCUUUCUUAAUGCACUUUUCGGUUAACAAGUCAACAUCAAUUUCUUUUGUUGUAAAAGAGUAUUCGGAAGGUGGCUUUCUUUUCGGAGAGAGUGUUUAUAGCCCUAUACUUCUACAAUCGGAGAGAUUGAGGUCUGCAGCGUAGAUCCUUCGGGGUUAGAUACACUUGUGCUAAGUUAUAGCUUUUCAUAGACAACUUGUUGACUAUGAUUUAGUCAUGUCGCUUACUCGCUUAUGCUAUUUUACCUACGCUUAGGAUGUUGAAGAUGUAGCACAUCAU
rnacentral:rRNA from 1 species